AGUUCGGAUUGUAGUCUGNAACCCGACUACAUGAAGCUGGAAUCGCUAGUAAUCGCGAAUCAGAAUGUCGCGGUGAAUACGUUCCCGGGUCUUGUACACACCGCCCGUCACACCAUGGGAGUCGGAAAUGCCCGAAGUCAGUGACCUAACCGAAAGGGAGGAGCUGCCGAAGGUGGAGCCGGUAACUGGGGUGAAGUCGUAACAAGGUACC
rnacentral:rRNA from 1 species